rnacentral:tRNA from 1 species
AAGUAAGUGGCCGAAGUUAGGUAUUAGUCUCUUAAAUUAAUUAUGAUAAAUUU